UAUAAUAAAAGCUGAAAUUAAUAAGCUAGAAAUCAAAAACAAACCAAAAUGAAGCAGAAAUGAUAAAUAAAUCCAAAAGCUAAAAAAAAACCUAAGACCAAUGAAGCAGAUAACCUCUCGGUGAACCUGAUUAAAGGAGAAAGUGCCCGUGGCAAGCGCGCGCGCGCACACGCACGCACACACACACACACACACACACACACACACACACACACACACGAGGGCACUUGGAAAAUAUGCAGGAUUAAAAAGAAGGAGACAAACCACAGAUACAGGCGUGAUUAAAAGAAUUAUAAGAGAUUACUGCUUGCAAUUCUAGGGCUGCAAAUUUUAAAACACAGAGGAAGUGAAUGAUUUCCUAACAAAAUAGAAAUUACUUAAAUUGCCAAUCAUGUAGAAGAUGGCAGGCUGGUGAUUAAGAAUCUAUCAUGGAAAAAGGCACAAAGACCAGAUGGGUUUAAUUUUUAAAUAACAGAUGAUUCCAAUGUUGUUUAAACAUUUCCAGGCCACGGAAAAAAAAAAAAAUUCUAACUCAUUUUACAAAGCCAGAUUAAUUAUAAUUCCAAAGCCGGAUGGUAUUUUUUAAAAUGCUCGACAUUUUACUUAAAAUUGCAGAUACAAGAAUUUUAAAUAAAAUAUUAGCAAAUAAUAUGCAGCUUGCUUCUGUCUGAGGUCAGGUUCCCCAGAGACUCUGAGGUAGAAAUAUGCAUGCCUAAGGGUUUUAGGGGAGCGCUCUCAGGAACAACAUCUUUAAGGAAGUGAGAGGCUGGGAUUGGGGUAGAGAGAGAAGUUGAAAUGCAAUAUAAUUACAAUAGUGGCUUCAGCCUAACCCACCGAGAGCUCUGUACCAGUCAUAGGGGUGGGCUGCUCCCUGACGAUAAACUCAGCUGUGAGCCAUCAGCAUCCUCAAUGCUCCGGACAGCCAGGAGAAUAUUCCACCUGGUGGUUUAUAGAUGGAGAAUUCCAAUCACCGGGAGAACUCAGCGCUUCUAAGACUGAAAAGCACAUCUGGCCUCAAAGAUUGCUGGAACCAUGGCUCUUCAUCUAUAGGAUUCACCAAUGCCUCGGGAGUCCACCCACUCUGGGGGCAUCUCAGAGAUGUACUCUCUGGAAAAGACUGAAUGGCUGGGGUGGUUUAGCAUUUGGCUCCCUGAUCUGUUUGCACAUGCCUCAGCCCAGGUGUGGGUGCCUAGGACCACCAGCUGCAGUUAGGGAGCAGAAUUGAUUUCACCUGUUUCAUGUGCAUAAGCCGCGGCAACCUCAAACCAAAAGAAUUUCUAGAGGCUGCUCUCUCCCAGAAUGAGUCUCUAGAUAUGGCUCCAGCUAAGCACCUUAUGGUCUGUCCAGGGUAGAGUUUAUUUUCCUUUUGUCGGCAAAGCUUCAUGGAAAUCCAAAUAGAACUUUUCUUAGUAAGUAUUAAAUCAAGGGGCCAAUUGAAUUUCCAGUUUGAUGUCUGCAAGCUAAGCUGUCCUGAUAGACUGACCUCAAAGUUGACAUGAGACGCCCAAUGUGAUCUGAAUACUUCAGGUCUGAUGACUAACACCCCGCUUCCUCUGGAUGGCAGCUGAAUGAGCACCACUAAGAUUUUCUUCUACAAUUUUCCUUUUUCAAUGCCUUUAAUUCUAACUAAUCCCCCUUCAAAGCGGUCCACUCUUUUUCUAUGUAUGUAAAACUAAAUUUUAACAUCUCUUGGGAAAAUUUUAGUAAAUUGUUGAUAAUCUUUUUCUUAGUAUUGAUAUUACGUGAAACAGAACAAAACAGACCUAAAACUGUGUCUGAAAUUUGUAAUGUUUGGGGUAAAUUGUUCUUUAAAGAAAUUUUAAGACAAGGAGAAAAACAGGUCUUCACUUUCCGUUCAGUCGUUUGCUUGUUUUUACAUAAAAGGACGAGCUAGCAAAAGCAGACAGGAACCAAUUACUUCAAGCAGUUGGGGCGUCCUCCGACGAAACGGAGGGCUGGCCCGGACGAGCUCCGUGGACGCUGUCCCGGCUCUGGAUUACACGGAUCAUGUGACAAAAUUACUUCUUCACAUGUUGCUGUUCCACUGACAGUGAGAACAUUGCUGAAGAAAUGUAAAUAAUUCUGAAGUUCAACAGAUCUCCGAUUCUUUAUAAGAAACACAUUCUUUUUGGACGCUGAGAUAAUUAAUUUCAUAUUUUCCAACCAGUUGGGGCUACUUUCCCAAGACUUUCUUUUCAUUUUAAUUCUCCACAAAUUCUUUGCUGGAAAACUGUAAUUACAUUUAACUAUAGGGAGGAAGUUAGAUGGUGACUGCAUACAUUUUAUGUUUUCAUUAUUCUUUCAUCCCUUUCUUAAAUCAGAGUAGUAAGUCUCUAUUCAACUCUUCUAAUAACCAAGGUAAAUUUAGUUAAGUUGUAAUGUUAAAACAAGUCAAAGCACGUUGUAUUGAAUGCAUUAUGCUAACAACAUGAUUGCCUUUUGUCUUUAUUUUAUUCCUAUAAAAAAAAAAAAAAAACCAGGGGCUGGCCUGUGGCCUAGUGGUUAAAUUCCCACGCUCUGCUUCAGCAGUCCAGGGUUUCACUGGUUCGCAUCCUGGGCACGGACAUAGCACCACUCAUCAAGCCAUGCUGAGGCAGGCGGCGUCCCACAUAGCACAACUAGAAGGACCCACAACUAAAAUAUACAACUAUGUACUGGGGGGAUUUGGGGAGAAAAAGCAAAAAAAAAAAAAAGAUUGGCAACAGUUGUUAGCUUAGACGCCAAUCUUAAAAAAAAAACACACCCUCACAUUGCCAAUUAGAAUAAUGCUAAGUGGCAUUGAAUUAAGGGAGGAGAAUCUAGAUGGAGGUUUAGCGAUAGUGCUUUGCAAGCUUCUCAAAUGCUAUUUGGCACUAAAGAGAGUAAUUAGUCCGUUCUGGCUUCUGCCUGCAGUCCUGCCCUGGCAGGCGUUCCGUGGCUCUACCUGCACAGCCACAAAGAGCCAGGGAGAGAGAUCUUUUUAUCAGUCCCGAUCAUUCAAAACUCACCAAUGGCUGGUUUUAUUUCUUUGCCAAAACUGACUAUUUUUCUUUCCACUUGUGCAGAUAUUUUGCCCAUGUUCUUUACAUUCGACACUCAUUCCUUUCACCCACGCUACGAAUAUAGGGGAUUUCUCCUUCUAGCGCUAGAAUUUGUCUAUAGGAGGAACUUCCGGACAGCAGUUGCUUGGGACCGGGAAAGGGGAGAAGCGCACACUCUGUUUUACUU
ensembl:lncRNA